GGGAUCUUCGGACCUUGCGCUAUCGGAUGAGCCUAUGUCGGAUUAGCUAGUUGGUGAGGUAACGGCUCACCAAGGCUGCGAUCCGUAGCUGGUCUGAGAGGAUGAUCAGCCACAUCGGGACUGAGACAGGCCCCAAACUAAUACGGGAGGCAGCAGUGGGGAAUAUUGGACAAUGGGCGAAAGCCUGAUCCAGCCAUGCCGCGUGUGUGAAGAAGGCCUUCGGGUUGUAAAGCACUUUCAGUGAGGAAGAAAGCCUUGAGGUUAAUACCCUCGAGGGAGGACAUCACUCACAGAAGAAGCACCGGCUAACUCCGUGCCAGCAGCCGCGGUAAUACGGAGGGUGCGAGCGUUAAUCGGAAUUACUGGGCGUAAAGCGCGCGUAGGCGGCUUGAUAAGCCGGUUGUGAAAGCCCCGGGCUCAACCUGGGAACGGCAUCCGGAACUGUCAGGCUAGAGUGCAGGAGAGGAAGGUAGAAUUCCCGGUGUAGCGGUGAAAUGCGUAGAGAUCGGGAGGAAUACCAGUGGCGAAGGCGGCCUUCUGGACUGACACUGACGCUGAGGUGCGAAAGCGUGGGGUAGCAAACAGGAUUAGAUACCCUGGUAGUCCACGCCGUAAACGAUGUCGACUAGCCGUUGGGCUCCUUGAGAGCUUUGUGGCGCAGUUAACGCGAUAAGUCGACCGCCUGGGGAGUACGGCCGCAAGGUUAAAAACUCAAAUGAAUUGGAACGGGGGCCCGCACAAGCGGUGGAGCAUGUGGUUUAAUUCGAUGCAACGCGAAGAACCUUACCUACCCUUGACAUCGAGAGAACUUUCCAGAGAUGGAUUGGUGCCUUCGGGAGCUCUCAGACAGGUGCUGCAUGGCUGUCGUCAGCUCGUGUUGUGAAAUGUUGGGUUAAGUCCCGUAACGAGCGCAACCCUUGUCCCUAUUUGCCAGCGAUUCGGUCGGGAACUCUAGGGAGACUGCCGGUGACAAACCGGAGGAAGGUGGGGACGACGUCAAGUCAUCAUGGCCCUUACGGGUAGGGCUACACACGUGCUACAAUGGCCGGUACAAUGGGUUGCGAAUCCGCGAGGUGGAGCUAAUCCCAUAAAGCCGGUCUCAGUCCGGAUCGGAGUCUGCAACUCGACUCCGUGAAGUCGGAAUCGCUAGUAAUCGUGAAUCAGAAUGUCACGGUGAAUACGUUCCCGGGCCUUGUACACACCGCCCGUCACACCAUGGGAGUGGACUGCACCAGA
rnacentral:rRNA from 1 species